rnacentral:lncRNA from 1 species
UAAUCCUUCUAGUUGCUUAGGCUUCUUAAACAUUUGAUGACACUGGGUCUUGUGCUCCAUUUUCUCCUUGAAAGUUAAAAACUGUAGCCGGCACUUGGAACACUGGUGUGCACUCUUUCCCCAGUGGCCCCUAUAAUGACACAUGUAUGGUGUUGCUGUUUUGAAAAUUUUGAGACAAAAGGGACAAAGCAAAUUCUUUGUGUUUUCAUGGCACGUUCUAAAAUGUGUUUCUACAUCAGCAAAGACCGACGAUCUAUAAUGGCAAACCUGGCACACAUAGGGCAUUUCGCCAGGCUUAUGA